AUACGGAGGGUCCAAGCGUUAUCCGGAAUCAUUGGGUUUAAAGGGUCCGCAGGCGGUCAAUUAAGUCAGAGGUGAAAGCCCAUCGCUCAACGAUGGAACUGCCUUUGAUACUGGUUGACUUGAGUUAUACGGAAGUAGAUAGAAUAAGUAGUGUAGCGGUGAAAUGCAUAGAUAUUACUUAGAAUACCGAUUGCGAAGGCAGUCUACUACGUAUAUACUGACGCUGUGGGACGAAAGCGUGGGGAGCGAACAGGAUUAGAAACCCCAGUAGUCC
rnacentral:rRNA from 1 species